rnacentral:rRNA from 1 species
CUACGGGGGGCUGCAGUGAGGAAUAUUGGUCAAUGGGCGCGAGCCUGAACCAGCCAUCCCGCGUGCAGGAUGACGGCCCUAUGGGUUGUAAACUGCUUUUCUAUGCCAAGAAACCUGAUUACGUGUAAUCAGUUGCCGGUAGCAUAGGAAUAAGCAUCGGCUAACUCCGUGCCAGCAGCCGCGGUAAUACGGAGGAUGCAAGCGUUAUCCGGAUUCAUUGGGUUUAAAGGGUGCGCAGGUGGGCUGGUAAGUCAGUGGUGAAAUGCUGCCGCUUAACGGUAGAACUGCCAUUGAUACUGCGAGUCUUGAGUAUGGUUGAGGUAGGCGGAAUGUGUUGUGUAGCGGUGAAAUGCAUAGAUAUGACACAGAACGCCAAUUGCGAAGGCAGCUUACUAAGCCAUUACUGACGCUGAGGCACGAAAGCGUGGGGAGCGAACAGGAUUAGAUACCCCCGUAGUC